AUGAUGAUGAUAAUUAUGUCAUAUAACACCUGAGACUGUGGUCGAAGAAAUUGGAAACAUUUUAGUAGAAAGAUCGGACACAAAAAGGGACGUCUCAAACCCAGCUAACUGGUUUAUUUCUCGACCAUCCUAUAUCAUGAUAGCUUCACGAAUGACUUGCCCACUGGCGCCACACUGGCCUCGCUGUUUUCAACGGUUCUCAGGUUGCCGGGGCGGCUUGUUUGAACUGUUUGAACCACAGGUUUGAACUGUUUCAACGGGAGUCAUGGCAAAUCCACUUGGAGGCUUAUUUAAACCAAAGUCCCGCUGGCGGGAAAAGAUAACGGACGGAGCAGCACUGCGUGGCCUCGCAAUCCCAGCGACCCGACGAGCUCGCAGUGGUGCUCGGAAGACGACCCUCCCAAAGCCGACGACGCGCACUCGCACGUACAUGCGCAAGCGAUCACCUCUGUGGACAGCGAAGAAACAUCGUCGCACUGUGACAACUUUGUUGGCGUUCGUUUCAUAAAACCCGUUCUAUAAGGAGCUUGUGUCCACCCUGAAAGGCCUGGCGAGCCACGUGCUCGUAUUCAAGCUGGUGCCACGAGGUGGGCCUUUCGGGCAUGCCAGGGAGGAUGAGAGGCUGUCCCUGAACCGCCUACUAGUACGGAAGGUGUUGCCCUCGGCGUUGCCAUCGUGAAUGUCGACUACCUCUUCUCAACCGAGGCAACAUGGUCAACCUCGACAAGCUGGCUACUGACCAGUACCACGUGUGCCGUGUCCGCGGCAUCCAGCGUCUUGCAUUUGCGCUCGGCAAGGCACUCGCAAAACUUUAUGGUAAUUCUAUCUUUGGUGGGUGCUGUGCCCCAUUCUAACCUUUCGAAGUCCACAGGUGUUUAAGAUGUGGAGCCUGUGGCCAGUGGGGAGGUGUAUGUCUCCAAUUUGCCGGACCCUAGCAGUAGCUAAGUUACCGCCGAAUUCACAAACCUCAUUUCAAUUGAGGCGCCCCUCCACUUCCUCAAGGAAGGUGUGAGGGCCGGU